CUGAUUAAACUUGUUAUGUUCACAACAAAUUAUUUCAAUUCAGUUUUCGCGUAAGCACAAAUUCAGGAGCUAUCAAUGCGCUAAUGAAAUUUCUACAAUUUCUUAUAAUUUUCUCUUAAUCUUCCUGGUAAAAUGUGUCGGUAAAAAAAUUAUAUUAAUCCUUACACAAUAUUUUUAAUGUGUUCUAAUAGCGAAAACAUUUAUUAGUCUUCGAGGUUUAACCCGAGGUGGUUGGCGGUUAUGCGGUAUGCGGGUUAUCAAGGUGGACGAGGAGGAGGACAAGGGGGAGGAGGACGAGGAAGACGAGGAGAACGAGGAUUUCUGAACGACAUAACCCGAGGUGGUUAGCGGUGGUCGUUGGAGGUGGUCGGAGGUGGUUGCGGGUGAUCGAGCGUGACGAGGAGAAAGACAAGGAGGAGAAGGACGAGGAUUUGUGCAUGGUAUAACCCGAGGUGGUUAUCGGUGGUUGUUGGAGGUGGUUGGCGGUGGUUGAAGGUGUUCGGAGGUGUUCGGAGGUGGACGAGGAGGAGAACAAGGUGGACGAGGAGGACGAGGAUUUGAGCUCGGUGUAUAUCAUUCUAAAGUAUUGAAUAGAGUAGGAGUAGGAGUAGGAGUAGGAGUAGGAUCAGGAGUAGGAGUAGGAGCCCUACCCUAAACUACCCCCCCCUCUACCCUACCCUACCCACUACUCUACCCUACC
rnacentral:lncRNA from 1 species